UACGUAGGGUGCGAGCGUUACUCGGAAUUACUGGGCGUAAAGCGUGCGCAGGCGGUUUUGUAAGCCAGAUGUGAAAUCCCCGGGCUCAACCUGGGAAUGGCAUUUGGGACUGCAAGGCUGGAGUGCGGCAGAGGAGACUGGAAUUCCCGGUGUAGCAGUGAAAUGCGUAGAUAUCGGGAGGAAUACCGAUGGCGAAGGCAGGUCUCUGGGCUGACACUGACGCUCAUGCACGAAAGCGUGGGGAGCGAACAGG
rnacentral:rRNA from 1 species